GAUGAACGCCGGCGGCGUGCUUAACACAUGCAAGUCGAACGGAAAGGCCCAAGCUUGCUUGGGUACUCGAGUGGCGAACGGGUGAGUAACACGUGGGUGAUCUGCCCCGCACUUCGGGAUAAGCCUGGGAAACUGGGUCUAAUACCGGAUAGGACCACUUCUUGGAGGUUGUGGUGGAAAGUUUUUUCGGUGUGGGAUGAGCUCGCGGCCUAUCAGCUUGUUGGUGGGGUAAUGGCCUACCAAGGCGUCGACGGGUAGCCGGCCUGAGAGGGUGUACGGCCACAUUGGGACUGAGAUACGGCCCGGCCUCCUACGGUCGGCAGCAGUGGGGAAGAUUGCACACUGGGCGCAUGCCUGAUGCAGCGACGCCGCGUGGGGGAUGACGGCCUUCGGGUUGUAAACUCCUUUCGCAGGGGACGAAGCGCAAGUGACGGUACCUAGAGAAGAAGCACCGGCUAACUACGUG
rnacentral:rRNA from 1 species